CGUGAUGGGGCUGCUACUGCUGCUGAAUCUGGGUGCAGCAGUGCAGGAUGUGGCUCUGGACACACUCGCUGUGCAACUCCUAGAGCCAAAGGAGUUGGGACCCGGGAACACUGUACAGUUCCCAUCCCAGGCAGCCACUGAAGCUGUUGAGGUCAGUGCUGCAGCUUCGACUUGGGGGUUUGGCCUGCCAGACCGCUCUGCUCCUCCACCUCAACACCCCAGGGGCCAGUCUGGACCCUGGCACAGUCAUGAGAGGAGCAGCUUUGCUGAGCCUAUGUCUACAACAAUUUCUGGGGGGUGUGGUCACUACUGCCACAUUCACUGUGAUGAUGCACUGUAGCCAGCUGGCACCCAGAGCCCUGCAGGCCACACAUUAUAGCUUCCUGGCCACGCUAGAACUGCUGGGCAAGCUGCUCCCAGGCACCCUGGCUGGAGUGCUGGCUGAUGGCCUGGGCCCCCGUCUCUGCUUCGCUGCCUUCCUUGUACUCUCAGCCCUGCCCGUUCUGGAUCUCCGCCUGGCACCCAGUAACCUGACCUGAGCUGGACCUCAGGGUUGUGUGUAAAGCCAGUGAAGCUCUGGAUGGCCUGGACGGCCAGGACACAGAAACGCAGCUAUCCGCAAACCGAGGGCUGUGUUCCCAGAAAGCACAUAAAGUUACUGAAGGCUC
rnacentral:lncRNA from 1 species